GCCUGGGUGGCGGAACAGGUAGACGCAAGGGACUUAAAAUCCCUCGACGGCAACGUCGUGCCGGUUCGAUUCCGGCCCCAGGCACCA
rnacentral:tRNA from 1 species